rnacentral:tRNA from 1 species
CCUUCCAUAGCUCAGUUGGUAGAGCGGGAGACUGUAGUUUUAUAAUUGUGAUCCCUAGGUCGCUGGUUCGAAUCCUUCUCGAAGGC